rnacentral:rRNA from 1 species
GCGGUGAAAUGCGUAGAUAUCUACUGGAAUGCCGAUGGGGAAGCCGGUCGGCUGGGCCUGUCUUGACGCUGAGGCACGAAAGCGUGGGGAGCAAACAGGAUUAGAUACCCUGGUAGUCCACGCCGUAAACGAUGUACACUAGACUGGUGCGGUUUUGACGCCGUAUCAGUCGCAGUAAAAACGAUAAGUGUACCGCCUGGGGAGUACGGUCGCAAGGCUAAAACUCAAAUGAAUUGACGG